GUUAUAAAACAGUGCCAAUGUUUUCAUGAAGGGGAGUAAGACUUGUGGUAUAAUAUAUCUUAAAUACAAGCUAGCAAUGAUUACUGCAUUUUAGUAUGAAUAGAGUUUUAGAAUUAUUAUUGGAGUGGACUUUUGAGGUUAGCAUUACAGCUUGUCUGUGCAGAUUGAUGUUGGAAAUGGCUAUAUGAAUUGACUUUUAAAAAUAUUAAUUACUGUGGCUGAAGGAUAUAAAUGUGUGAUUAUUUCUCCAUACUUCUAAAUUAGAGAUGUUGUGAAGAUUCUUAACAUGUUGACAGCUGGGCGCUCUCUCUUCAGAAGACAUAAGAUUUAAAAUCCCCAUUCUGACAGGACAUGACUGCCAAUCUGUAUAUCCUGCCUGAGUAUCAUGCAAUACCAAACAGAUGCCUUACUUUUACAUGUAUUUUACUGCAAGUCUGAAGAAGACCAAAAGUGACCAUAUUUCCUUUUGUGUCUUUCUAACUCUACCAAACAGUUUCCAAUAUGAACAGUUCAUAUAAAUCUUGCAUACUUCUUCUUGUAUCAUAUACAUGUUUUUUGAUGGAUUAAACUGUAAAACUAUUGUAAUUUUAGCACUACCAGAGUAAUUAUAAAUGAACUGUUUUACAAAGCAAUUAUUUAAUUUUUCAUUCAUUGAGUUAUGCCAAGUCCAAAAAAAAGUAGAAUAUUGAUGAAACAUCUUACUUUCAAGGACUGUAAAAUAAAAGUUUCUGUAAAACAAUAAUUUGUGUACUAAAUGUAAUGUAAAAUUUUGUAUAUUAUUGAAUUCAUAUGAAACUUUUUUCUUCUUCUCUAGUGGUUCAAAUAUAUGACAAUUAAGCAUAGAAAUAACCAAAAAGAAACAAAUUUCUCCUUCCUAAUUCUUCUAUAGGCACUUUUAUAUGUAAAUAUGUGUUACAGCCUAAAUUGACCUGAAUUUAUUUUUAGUCAUGCAUCGCUUUGGACCAUUUUCUAACUGUGUGGUAUGCUAUUGUAACUUUUCCAUCCAGAAAGAAUUAUUUAAGGCGAAAUUGCUUUUAAUUUGGUGGACAAAAUUACAAUUGUUUAGAAGCAUCCCCUAUUUUAUUUAAUACAUGUACAUAAAAUAACAAGCCCCCUAUUAAUAUAUGGGGAAAUGGGAUAAAAUCAACUUGGUUAUCAGAAUUUGUGAUUAUCUCCCCUUAUUAAAAAGAACUUAAGCCAGUGUAGGAAUUUUACAGGAAAUAUUUCGCCUCAAGUCUUUAAAUAGGCCUAAAUCAAACUUGAUUCAUCAAACACCUUGUUUUAAACAUAGCAGAACAGUUAAUAUGCUGGUCAAUGCCCCAUGUCCUCUGCAAAUUGGAUAACUGAAAAGAAAGUCCUUAAAUGAUAAACAAUUGUUUCUUUGAUCCAAAAAAUUGAAUAUAAGGGGUUUGGGGUAUACAAUAAUCAACUAAUGCAAAGGUUGUCUGAUUUGAUUUUUUCAUUAAAUGUCAAUAAAUUGGCUUUCAUUUUUAUGAUUGAAAAAUAAGGGGAGAUAAUUUUGACAUAGUAGAAUCCUGACUGCAAAAGUAGUAGGAAUGAAAAUUUCCAUAUAUUUUAUCUUAUUAACAGCAUGCUAGGUUUAUUUUGAAUAAUAAAUUUACAAAAAAGUAUAAAUUUGGAAAGUUAUUAUUAAUUGGAAAAUGAAUGAGAGGUUUCCUGAUUUUAACUUGAUCUUUUGAGGAACAUUUUUAUGCAUUUGGUUCUAACCUAACCUCAAUAAGUAAAUUUGUAGUUUCCAUUUUCUGUUAAAAUUAAUUGCAUAAAUUUACUUUAGGUAAAAAAAUAACAUCAUUGUAGACAUAUUUCUUGUUCAUUUGGGUAUUUUAAAAUGCUAUCUCUUUACUCUUUAAGAUGUUUUUUUCAAACCCCUAAAAAACAGUUUGCUUAACUGACCUGUAAAAUAAGAUGUUUCUUUCUUUAAUUCGUAAUUAUCCAAUAUAUGGAUCUAUUUGUCCAUCAAUAUCUCCAGUUCAAAUCUCCAAUAUUUAAUCCCUAAAGUUCAUGCCUCGGAUAUAUAUAUGUAAAGUUCAGUUACAUUAAAACAGAAUUUAAGGUUUCAGCAACACAUGAGGGAUUGCUGCAGUAAUUUAGUAAGUUAGACAAGUUUUGGUUACCCUGAUCAGGAUUAAAACUACAGAAGAGCAGAAAAUUCCCAAGUGAUGAUGUGUUCUUCACAAUUUGUCACCAUAAGAAGAAAUUAAAAAUAGAGAGUGAGUGAAGGUAUGACAGUAAACUGGAUUAAGAAUGUUAAAUAAAAUAUGUUUUUGCAAAUUUGGACGACAAUUAAUUGCAAUUAUGUACCAUUUCAACAAUAGAAGUAGUAUCGACUUGCAAAUCCAUACCAUUACAUCACUGGAAGCAGUAUGGUUGUCUGAGGGAAGCCAAUUGGAAGUACGUACCUCUUAGUGAAGCUAAUUGGGAGCACACCCUCUGUCUUGUUGUGAAGCUGAUUUGAAGCAGUACAUAUAUACCUCUGUCUGCUAAAGCUAAUUAGAAGCAGUACCCCUGGCAGAGAGGUCCCAAUUAGAAGUACGUAACUCUGAGGGAAGCCAAUUGGAAGCAUGUACCUCUGCAAAAUUUGAUUAAACAUUAUUAAACAAAUUUUAUUUAACAUUCUUUUUAAAGUUUACUUGCAUACCAACUCUCAUUUUUUAUUUAUAAUUACUCCCCUUAUUGACAUUGUGACGUGCAAAUUAUCACUUCACCAUUUAGUAGAUCCUUCUAAUAAAUUACUACAACACACGAUCAAGUAUUGUUAUAAGGGUAAAAUACUUUAUUAAUUUUAGUUUAUGCACCUUUAAAUGAUUACUAAACUUACUGUAACUUUUUGGAAGCUAAGGUUCCUCAAGGUCUAUAGGGAGAACGAUAUAAGUUUGCUGUGAAGGGCAUAUGAUACAUAUCAGGAAAAGACCCAUUUUUUAACUGACUUAACAUGAAAAUGAAUUCAUGGACCUCUCUUUUUGAAAAUUACAUUAAGCUUGAAUAUGUUUAAAGAUUAUUUGUGCCAAUUUGAAGAAACCACCAAUGGAAUUGUUCUAAAUAAGAUAAAUAUACAGCCAAUAAUGAUGUUUCUUUUACUGAAAUCGUUACCAUAUGUUGUAACACAAAUUUAACUCAAAACACACAAUAUGUAGAGAUGAUAAUCCAGUUUUUUUAAUUACAAAACUCCCCUUGUGUUUAUAUUUUAUGACAAAAAAGUUCAGUAUGUCUUUCUAUUACUUGGAAAUAUUCAAGAAACCUAAAUGUCUAGUAAAUGUCUAAUAUUUGACUGCUCAUCUAUCAAAGUAACACAUAAAGGUACAUGUAUAAUUACAUAUUUGAAUUAACUAGGUGAAUAAAUAGCUUGUAAGCAAACUUUGGGUUUAUUAUUUUUAAUAAAUUUAUUUAAAUGUAAAAUACAAUAAAUUACUUUUUGUUUAGAUUAAAUUGUCAGAGGAUGGGAUAGAAUCAUCGGUUCUUAAGUUAAUGAAUUCAUAAGAACAGACUUUGCAAUCAUAUCAGUUUGUUAAUUAAUAUUUGUGGUCUCAAAAAAUCCUUGAAAUAAAAUAAUUACUCAUGGCACCAAAUAGAUUUUACUAGAAAUUAUUUUGUUAUGUAGUAGUUUUAAGUGAAAAUUGAAACUCUUAAUAUUUCUUUUAACAAUUUUAAAUUAUAAACCUCAUAUCUACUUCAAAAAAAUAGUUUUUAAUAAAUGAAGAAAAGUUUGACAAUUUUCAGUUUAAAUUCAAAUUGCAGAUUUGACAUGAUAAAUUCAUUAUUUUUAUUAACGUUCCUUAGUAAGCUUUAGAUUAGAAAAUCUUGAAAAAGCAAAAGAAAAAAAGUGUACCAACAGUGAAAGGAUUAAUAAUUUUAGAAUGAAUUCAAAGUUUUCCAAUGUAUAUAGCUGCAUACUAGAAAUUGGUAUUUGUUUACUUGACAAAAACAGGAUUUUUAUUUUCAACCUUUUUUCAACUUUUGAACCCCAACCAAAAAGAUACACUAGUUUUCUCUACCAAUUAAAAGU